CACGUAGGGUGCAAGCGUUGUUCGGAAUUACUGGGCGUAAAGGGCGCGUAGGCUGGUUUGUAAGUUGUCUGUGAAAUUCCUGGGCUUAACCUGGGCGCGGCAGACAAUACUGCAGAUCUUGAGUGCUUGAGAGGAUGGCGGAAUUCCAGGUGUAGAAGUGAAAUUCGUAGAUAUCUGGAAGAACACCGGAGGCGAAGGCGGCUGUCUGGCAAGACACUGACGCUAAGGCGCGAAAGCGUGGGGAUCAAACAGG
rnacentral:rRNA from 1 species